UGUUUUAAUUAAUAUGACAAAAAAUAAAUAAUAAUAAAAAAUGGAGGAGGAGCAUCCCCACACCCUUGGAUAGUCUCCAAGGGGAGGGUCCUUCUCCUUUGCCUACGUGGCGCUUAUGUGGAGGAUAGUCUCCAAAGGACUAUCCUCCCCCAUACCCAAUGGUCUUAUUGAAGACGCUGCUGGCAAAGUUGGUUCACAAACAGUAAGGGAGCAUUUGAGUUAGGAUUUACUGUUCGAGCUGUUGUACAAAGUACUCAUAGCAGAAUAUUUGGUGAAAAUUUUGCAGCAAAUGAAGCUUGAUGACACAAUACAUGAUUGAAGUCAGCGUGAGGAAAGAUGCUCACUAUGUAGUCCAGCUAUGGAAAUGUUACAGAGAUCAUAUGCUUGUAGUCUUGUUGCAAACAGUAUUCAGGGGCAGAUUUAGAUGUUAAUAAUCAUAUCACUUCAAACAGCAGCAAGGUAUCAUCUAUGCCGCCAACGCCCCGCAGUGAAGAUCACUGGUGGGUGAUGCUUUAACCCGUAUCAAAUACAUAGUGUUCAAAUGAGGCUGUGAUGAUAGAACAAAAUCAAACUUAACUCGCUGCACCAUGGAUGAGUGUUUUGAUUUUUUAUGUCUUCAAGGUAUCACUGUAAGGUUUUCUUUCCCUGUUUAAUACUUGCAUCAUAAUAUCAUAUUACUUGUGUUGUAUCUAUUGUUGCAUUAUUUUUUCUGCUGUGUUUUUGCUUAAAUAACUGGAUUAUACCAUGAUUGACAACAUUCAGUGUGAACAAGGCUAGAGGUGUACAAAAAAACCGGUUUUAGAACUGAAACAGGAAAAAACCGAAACCAGUUUUUUUAUAACGGGUUUUAGAACCGAACCAAACCGGCAGUGGUAGAGCAGUUAGGGAUCUUAAUCUUCGAAACCGGUUAUAAAAAACCAGUUUAAACCGGUAAAACACGGUUUUUUUGCAUGAACCGGUUAAAAACUGACUUUAUCCAGUUGGACCGGUUAUUGUUUUGAGUAAAAAAACCGGUUAGUAACCGAAACCGGUUAAAAAAAACCGGUUUUUGAUUUUGAUGAAAAAAACCGGUUUGGCUACUGUUGAAAAAAAAAACCAUUUGUACACCUCUCAACAUGGUUGUUGUUGUGGUGUUUGUGUGAUUAUUAAAAUCUACUCUUGGUACUCUUAACUGCUGGGCUGAAUUGCUUCGGCUACUGUUGUUAUUCUACUGUUCUUGGAUGAUUGAACACGAUCAACAUUUUUGUAUUGUAGUCAUCGAGUUUGUUCAUUUUCUGACAAGUAAUCAGUGCUCCUAAGCUUUUUUGCAAAUUUGUUCCCCUAACCAAUCCAACCCAUAUAGGGUUUUUCAUUGUUUUUGAAAAUAUAGGAGAAAAAUUCUCCGAUCAUGGAACCCAUGUUUUGGACCUCUUGAUGCUUCUUGAUAUAGAUUUAUUUUUCGGUUAGCAUUUCUUUCCUUUGAUUUAGUCAUUGGAUUCAGAUUUGUUGUGUCACACCCCGACCACGUAGAACAUACAAAACGUGGCAGAAAUGUCGGGGAGUGUUGUAACAGAAUCAAU